UGGACAAUGGGCGCAAGCCUGAUCCAGCCAUACCGCGUGGUGAAGAAGGCUUCGGGUUGUAAAGCCCUUUUGUUGGGAAAGAAAUCCAGCCGGCUAAUACCUGGUUGGGAUGACGGUACCCAAAGAAUAAGCACCGGCUAACUUCGUGCCAGCAGCCGCGGUAAUACGAAGGGUGCAAGCGUUACUCGGAAUUACUGGGCGUAAAGCGUGCGUAGGUGGUCGUUUAAGUCCGUUGUGAAAGCCCUGGGCUCAACCUGGGAACUGCAGUGGAUACUGGGCGACUAGAGUGUGGUAGAGGGUAGCGGAAUUCCUGGUGUAGCAGUGAAAUGCGUAGAGAUCAGGAGGAACAUCCAUGGCGAAGGCAGCUACCUGGACCAAYACUGACACUGAGGCACGAAAGCGUGGGGAGCAAACAGGAUUAGAUASCGUGURGUCCACGCCSUAAACGAUGCGAASUGGAUGUUG
rnacentral:rRNA from 1 species